UACGUAGGGCGCAAGCGUUAUCCGGAAUUAUUGGGCGUAAAGAGCUCGUAGGUGGCGUGUCGCGUCUGCCGUGAAAGCCCAUGGCUUAACUGUGGGUCUGCGGUGGAUACGGGCAGGCUGGAGGCUGGUAGGGGCAAGCGGAAUUCCUGGUGUAGCGGUGAAAUGCGCAGAUAUCAGGAGGAACACCGGUGGCGAAGGCGGGUCUCUGGGCCGAUACUGACGCUGAGGAGCGAAAGCGUGGGGAGCGAACAGG
rnacentral:rRNA from 1 species